rnacentral:rRNA from 1 species
ACCAACAGGGAUUGCCCUAGUAACGGCGAGUGAAGCGGCAACAGCUCAAAUUUGAAAUCUGGCUCUUUUAGAGUCCGAGUUGUAAUUUGCAGAGGGCGCUUUGGCGUUGGCAGCGGUCCAAGUUCCUUGGAACAGGACGUCACAGAGGGUGAGAAUCCCGUACGUGGUCGCUAACCUUCGCCGUGUAAAGCCCCUUCGACGAGUCGAGUUGUUUGGGAAUGCAGCUCUAAAUGGGAGGUAAAUUUCUUCUAAAGCUAAAUACUGGCCAGAGACCGAUAGCGCACAAGUAGAGUGAUCGAAAGAUGAAAAGCACUUUGGAAAGAGAGUCAAAUAGCACGUGAAAUUGUUGAAAGGGAAGCGCUUGCAGCCAGACUUGCCUGUAGUUGCUCAUCCGGACUUUUGUCCGGUGCACUCUUCUGCGGGCAGGCCAGCAUCAGUUUGGGCGGUUGGAUAAAGAACUCCAUCACGUACCACCUUUCGGGGUGGCCUUAUAGGGGAGUUGUCACACAACCAGCCUGGACUGAGGUCCGCGCAUCUGCUAGGAUGCUGGCGUAAUGGCUGUAAGCGGCCCGUCUUGAAACACGGACCAAGGAGUCUAACAUCUAUGCGAGUGUUUGGGUGUCAAGCCCGAGCGCGCAAUGAAAGUGAACGGAGGUGGGAACCCUUAAGGGUGCACCAUCGACCGAUCCUGAUGUCUUCGGAUGGAUUUGAGUAAGAGCAUGGCUGUUGGGACCCGAAAGAUGGUGAACUAUGCUUGAAUAGGGUGAAGCCAGAGGAAACUCUGGUGGAGGCUCGCAGCGGUUCUGACGUGCAAAUCGAUCGUCAAAUUUGGGCAUAGGGGCGAAAGACUAAUCGAACUA